rfam:Actinobaculum massiliae ACS-171-V-Col2 genomic scaffold supercont1.2, whole genome shotgun sequence.
ACAGUGCUCCGGGGUCAGUGAAAGUCUGAACCGGCGGUGAAAGUCCGCGAACCGCGCAAGCGGUUGACGAGGUGAAAUUCCUCGACCGACGGUUAAAGUCCGGAUGGGAGGCGCACUAG